UCUGUAGUGGGCGUUAGAAAUUUGAGUGGACCUGAUCCUAGUACGAGAGGACCGGAUUGGACCAACCUCUGGUGCACCAGUUGUUCCGCCAGGAGCAUUGCUGGGUAGCUACGUUGGGAAGGGAUAAGCGCUGAAAGCAUAUAAGCGCGAAACCCACCACAAGAUGAGAUUUCUUUAAAGGACCGUGGGAGACGACCACGUUGAUAGGCCAUAGGUGUAAAGGCAGCAAUGUCAUAGCCGAGUGGUACUAAUAAUCCGUAAAGCUUGAUGC
rnacentral:rRNA from 1 species